rnacentral:rRNA from 1 species
UUCCAGACUCCUACGGGAGGCAGCAGUGAGGAAUAUUGGUCAAUGGGCUUACGCCUGAACCAGCCAAGUCGCGUGAGGGAAGACUGCCCUAUGGGUUGUAAACCUCUUUUGUCAGGGAGCAACGCCGGCUACGUGUAGCCGGACUGAGAGUACCUGAAGAAAAAGCAUCGGCUAACUCCGUGCCAGCAGCCGCGGUAAUACGUAGGGGGCAAGCGUUAUCCGGAUUUACUGGGUGUAAAGGGAGCGUAGACGGCAUAGCAAGUCUGAAGUGAAAGCCCGUGGCUCAACCGCGGAACUGCUUUGGAAACUGUUAAGCUGGAGUACUGGAGAGGCAAGCGGAAUUCCUAGUGUAGCGGUGAAAUGCGUAGAUAUUAGGAGGAACACCAGUGGCGAAGGCGGCUUGCUGGACAGAGACUGACGUUGAGGCUCGAAAGCGUGGGGAGCAAACAGGAUUAGAUACCCCAGUA